CUGUGUCAUAGUAUUCCAAUCCAAACUCAACAAGGAGCUUUAAAAAAGACGAGUCUGUAGUUUCUAACACAGCACAAGUACACUAUAUCAUAACUAAUUAUUGGAUAUUGAGAUACUAGUAGCUUAACAGAUCAUUUGGCAAUACUAGGUUUAAAUACUAAUUGAUAAUUCGACAAGGGUUAAAUACUAAUUGAUAAUUCGACAAAGGUGUAAGAGUAUGCGCUUAAAACAUUGUUGCAUAUGUCAACAGACAGAAUAGAUUUAGAACAUGUUUUGACCAAAAACAUUAAAUAGAUAUAUGGUUGCAUGUAAAUGAAGUUGAUGAGACACGCAUACAAAACUCCUCAUCAAUUAAAGAAGCAAAAAGUGCAGUCUACUCCUUUUACAGUAAAAGAAAGGAAAUAGUCAAAUAGUUAGAUAAGAGGCAUGGUGAGUCGUAGUAUAUGAGAUGAUCAACCUUCUAUUCUCCCAGCAACAAAAAACAUGACUUUCGUUACCAGGCUAGCUUUCCAACUAUUACCAACAACAUAUAGGCAAAAUCAGCAACAUUUUCUCAAUCAUACUUAAAAUGCACUAGAAAUUAGGAAACAACUUUAUAUUAAAAGUUUGAUAAAGGAAAAAAAAAAUCUUAUUAACCUUUCGAAAACUUUCCAUGGAGCUCCUGAACUGAUGAAUUUAGCAAAUGAUGCAAACAGAUACCUUGUUUCAAUCAAACUACAGGGAUAUCGUAAGUUGCCUUGUUUUCAAAAAUGCACAAAUGUUCUGCAAACUAUGGUAGAGCUACGUAAGGUUCUCUGGAGUAACGCUUCUUUUACUUGCAGUCAUCUGCUUCAUUCUUUCAUUCAUGACCGAAACUCCUCAUUUACUUAGAAAAUGUGCAUUUUCAGCAGUCAAGCAGCAUAACAAUACCUCAACUCGACAAUUAGGAAGCAACCAGAAAAUUAUUCAAAAGAAAAAAAAACUUGCCGAGGAAAUCACUAUGAAAUGCCAUAGUAAAUACUUAAGCUGCCGUAGAAAGUAGAAACACUAUAGAGAAUAAGUUCUCUUGCCUAUUGUAGCACUGCAUCAUUCUCCAAUUAUUUUACGUCAAUAACACACAGUAUUGGGAGGGGUGGAAAAACUGUAAUUAAUCCGAAUGAGUUAACAUAAAUAGAAAAAAGGGGCGCAAACUAGGAUUUUUGGAUCAAACUAACCAUCACAAAUCCUCAAGAAAGAAGAAAGCUAUGUGCUUACCGC
rnacentral:lncRNA from 1 species